UACGUAGGGGGCAAGCGUUGUCCGGAUUCAUUGGGCGUAAAGAGCUCGUAGGCGGUUUGUCGCGUCUGCUGUGAAAACCCGAGGCUCAACCUCGGGCCUGCAGUGGGUACGGGCAGACUAGAGUGCGGUAGGGGAGAUUGGAAUUCCUGGUGUAGCGGUGGAAUGCGCAGAUAUCAGGAGGAACACCGAUGGCGAAGGCAGAUCUCUGGGCCGUAACUGACGCUGAGGAGCGAAAAGCGUGGGGAGCGAACAGG
rnacentral:rRNA from 1 species